GUGAUUGCUUCAUCAGCACAUAUACUAAAAUUGGAACAAUUCAGAGAAAAUUAGCAUGGUCCCUGUGUAAGGACAACAUGCAAAUUCAUGAAGCAUUCCACAUUUUU
ensembl:snRNA U6 U6 spliceosomal RNA